UUAUGGCAGAAUUAGCCCAUGGCAGAAUUACAAGACUACAGAGGCUGGCUAUGGAUGACAGUCGUGCGUCUGGCCUGCUGCACAGCACAUCCACACAGGAGCUAAGGGAUCAUCCUUGCACAGCCCAUCCUGGAAGAAGAGAGUUCGCUGAUGAAUCCGACACCGUUUUAUGGCAUGGCAGCAGAAUAAAGGCUAGAAUUGGUCCUGUUCCAAGCCCUUUA